rnacentral:rRNA from 1 species
AUACGUAGGGUGCGAGCGUUGUCCGGAAUUACUGGGCGUAAAGAGCUCGUAGGUGGUUUGUCGCGUCGUCUGUGAAAUUCCGGGGCUUAACUCCGGGCGUGCAGGCGAUACGGGCAUAACUUGAGUACUGUAGGGGUGACUGGAAUUCCUGGUGUAGCGGUGAAAUGCGCAGAUAUCAGGAGGAACACCGGUGGCGAAGGCGGGUCUCUGGGCAGUAACUGACGCUGAGGAGCGAAAGCAUGGGUAGCGAACAGGAUUAGAUACCCUGGUAGUCCAUGCCGUAAACGGUGGGCGCUAGGUGUAGGGGUCUUCCACGACUUCUGUGCCGUAGCUAACGCAUUAAGCGCCCCGCCUGGGGAGUACGGCCGCAAGGCUAAAACUCAAAGGAAUUGACGGGG